UACGGAGGGUGCAAGCGUUAAUCGGAAUUACUGGGCGUAAAGCGUGCGCAGGCGGUUUGUUAAGUCUGUUGUGAAAUCCCCGAGCUCAACUUGGGAAUUGCAAUGGAUACUGGCAGGCUGGAGUAUGGUAGAGGAAGGUGGAAUUCCCGGUGUAGCAGUGAAAUGCGUAGAGAUCGGGAGGAACACCAGUGGCGAAGGCGACUACCUGGCCUGUUCUUGACGCUGAGGCGCGAAAGCUAGGGGAGCAAACGGG
rnacentral:rRNA from 1 species